rnacentral:rRNA from 1 species
AUUGAACGCUGGCGGCAGGCCUAACACAUGCAAGUCGGGCGGUAACAGGUCUUUCGGGAUGCUGACGAGCGGCGGACGGGUGAGUAAAGUCUAGGAAUCUGCCCAGUAGUGGGGGACAACGCGGGGAAACUCGCGCUAAUACCGCAUACGCCCUACGGGGGAAAGGUGCUUUAUUGUACCGCUAUUGGAUGAGCCUAGAUCAGAUUAGCUAGUUGGUAGGGUAAAAGGCCUACCCAAAGGCGG